rnacentral:rRNA from 1 species
UACAGAGACCUCAAGCGUUAUCCGGAAUCAUUGGGCGUAAAGCGUACCGAUAGGUGGUUUUACAAGUCAGAAGUGAAAUCUCUCAGCUUAACUGGGAGACUGUCUUUUGAAACUGUAAAACUAGAGGGGCAAAGAGGAAGCUGGAACGAACGGUGUAGUAGUGAAAUGCGUUGAUAUCGUUCGGAACACCAAUAGCGUAGGCAGGCUUCUGGGUGCCACCUGACACUGCUAGGACGAAAGCGUGGGGAGCGAAUGGG